CCCCCGGCAGCCGCGAGCUGCUCACUUGGCUCUCGCCCUCCGGCCGGGAAGCAUGGGCCUGCCCAGGCUGAUCUGCGCCUUCUUGCUCUACGCCUGCUGCUGCUGUCGCCGCGCCGCGGGUGUGCCCGGAGAGGCUGAGCAGCCUGCACCGGAGCUGGUGGAGGUGGAAGUGGGCAGCACAGCUCUUCUGAAGUGCAGCCUCUUCCAGUCCCAAGGCAACCUCAGCCAUGUCGACUGGUUUUCUGUCCACAAGGAGAAGCGGGUACUCAUCUUCCGCGUGCGCCAGGGCCAGGGCCAGAGCGAACCUGGGGAGUACCAGCACCGGCUCAGCCUCCAGGACAGAGGGGCUACUCUGGCCCUGACUCAAGUCACCCCCCACGACGAGCGCAUCUUCUUGUGCCAGGGCAAGCGCCCUCGGUCCCAGGAGCACCGCAUCCAGCUCCGCGUCUACAAAGCUCCAGAGGAGCCAAAUAUCCAGGCCAAUGCCCUGGGCAUCCCUGUGAACAGUAAGGAGCCUUCGGAGGUCGCUACCUGUGUGGGGAGAAAUGGGUACCCCAUUCCUCAAGUCAUUUGGUACAAGAAUGGUCGGCCUCUGAAGGAGGAGAAGAACCGAGUCCACAUUCAGUCCUCCCAGACCGUGGAGUCGAGUGGUUUGUACACCUUGCAGAGUAUUCUGAAGGCACAGCUGGUUAAGGAGGACAAAGAUGCCCAGUUCUACUGUGAGCUCAACUACCGGCUGCCCAGUGGGAACCACAUGAAGGAGUCCAGGGAAGUCACUGUCCCUGUUUUCUACCCGACAGAAAAAGUGUGGUUGGAAGUGGAGCCCGUGGGAAUGCUGAAGGAGGGGGACCGUGUGGAAAUCAGGUGUUUGGCUGAUGGCAACCCUCCACCCCACUUCAGCAUCAGCAAGCAGAACCCCAGCACCAGGGAGGCAGAGGAAGAGACAACUGUCGACAACGGGGUCCUGGUGCUGGAGCCGGCCCGGAAGGAACACAGUGGGCUCUAUGAAUGUCAGGGCCUGGACUUGGACACCAUGAUAUCGCUGCCGAGUGAAGCACAGGAACUGCUGGUGAACUACGUGUCUGACAUCCGAGUGAGUCCCGCAGAUCCUGAGAGACAGGAAGGCAGCAGCCUCACCCUGACCUGUGAGGCAGAGAGUAGCCAGGCCCUCGAGUUCCAGUGGCUGAGAGAAGAGACAGGCCAGGUGCUGGAAAGGGGGUCUGUGCUCCAGUUGCACAACCUGAAACGGGAGGCAGGGGGCGGCUACCGCUGUGUGGCAUCUGUGCCCAGCAUACCCGGCCUCAACCGCACACAGCUGGUCAACGUGGCCAUUUUUGGCCCCCCUUGGAUGGCAUUCAAGGAGAGGAAGGUGUGGGUGAAAGAGAACACGGUGUUGAACCUGUCUUGUGAAGCGUCAGGGCACCCCCGGCCCACUAUCUCCUGGAACGUCAACAGCACGGCAAGUGAACAAGACCAAGAUCCACAGCGAGUCCUCAGCACCCUGAAUGUCCUCGUGACCGCAGAGCUGUUGAAGACAGGUGUUGAAUGCACGGCCUCCAACGACCUGGGCAAAAACACCAGUGUCCUCUUCCUGGAGCUGGUCAAUUUAACCACCCUCACACCAGACUCCAACACAACCACUGGCCUCAGCACUUCCACUGCCAGUCCUCAUACCAGAGCCAACAGCACCUCCACAGAGAGAAAGCUGCCAGAACCGGAGAGCCAGGGCGUGGUCAUCGUGGCUGUGAUUGUGUGCAUCCUGGUCCUGGCGGUGCUGGGUGCUGUCCUCUACUUCCUCUACAAGAAGGGCAAGCUGCCGUGUGGGCGCUCAGGCAAGCAGGAGAUCACGCUGCCCCCGUCUCGUAAGAGUGAACUUGUAGUUGAAGUUAAGUCAGAUAAGCUCCCAGAAGAGAUGGGCCUCCUGCAGGGCAGCAGCAGUGACAAGAGGGCUCCGGGAGACCAGGGAGAGAAAUACAUCGAUCUGAGGCAUUAGCCCGGAAUCACUUCAGCUCCCUUCCCUGCCUGGAACUUUCUCGGCUCCUUGCUCGCUCCUUGCAGUCAAAGCCUUCAAAGGGACUAGACAGAAACCUCCUGCUCCCCUCGCCAGCACACCCACUUUCAGAGGGCCACUGGGUUAGGACCAGAGCUGACCUGAGGACCUCACCUGCCCCUGGAAGGCCUGCUUUUCAGGGACCAGUCCACCACCAUCUCCACGUUGAGUGAAGCUCAUCCUAAGCGAGGGGCCUGUCUCCCGAGUGGGAACCUGGGGGCCUCUGAAACUACAACCAAAGGCACACAAAACUGUUUCCAGUUGGCAGCAGAGAUCAGGGGUUACUUCUGCUUCUGAGCAAAUGGCUCAAAUUCUACCACAGAGUGGACAGUCCCCCUACUUUUCAGCAGCCAAACGGCCCUGAUGGAGGCAGCACGCAGGGCCUGGCAGGAGCUGUGGCCCCUUCCUAUGCUUUCCUGCCACUUAGAAUUGCCCUUGAGACAGCAGUUCAGGUCACACCAUGAGAAAGUGGCCUUGGCAUUUGGUCCUACGGCAACUUGUGUAUUGCCUCCCAACCCCCUGAAUGAGCAAGAACUCAAGUCAGCUACAACAAAAGAAACUUUAUUUAAAAAUAUAUUUUUUUACAGACAUGGGUGCUUGAAAAAGCUCUUUAGUUAACUGUGUAUGGAAAUGAAAAAAAUUAAUAAAUAACAUUAGUAUAACAGACCUCUAAACAUUAAUACAUUGGCAAAAUAAAAUGGACUUAAAAUGAAAAUGAAUCUUAAAGCUCUGCUAUUCUCUGUAAGAAUAUUUACCUUCUGUUUUAUUCUUUACAGGUGAGAAAGAUUAAAUACUGCUAAUAUAAAUUUUUUUAUAUUAAUGACACAUUUUUAAAAUAGUCCACGAAAAUCUCAUCUAUGUGUUUGUUUUCUUAACACUGAUAUACAAAUUGGGACUCUACAUUCGGGAGAAAGCAUCAAGUUAUCUCCAGCACCCCCAGGUUAAGAAUUUCAAAAUCUUGAAUAAGAAGGACUUUAAAAUUCCUAUCUUCCAAUUCUUUAUUAAAGGCAAGGGAAAACUGAGGAAAGCGUAAGAGACAAGUAAAAUGUUAUAUAGAAAAACUUUUGCUAAAGCUCACUAUGGUCACAUUACUGAGGACAGGCUUCUGGUCCGUGUUCCUUGCUGCCCUUCCCUGGGGAAACCAGGCCCUGCAGAGGGCACUAGCUGCUUAAUGCUUUAAGUCUGAGGUCUUCAAAGGAAAGGCCAGCCACAUCUGAUGGGGGCUGGGGGUGGGGGCAGGAGGUUUAGACCAGUUCAGGAUCCAGCAAAAAGAAAAGACAAAACAACCAAGCUCCCCUUCUCAGGAGAGUCCAUUCUACACUCCUCCGCGCAGUUAGGUAAUUAAUGUCAUCAGGAGGCUAGGACACUUAAAAUGGUCCAGAGUUCACCUGGAAAUUGUGGAACAUUCUGUCUCUUGCAGGAGACAAGGCAUUCAACCUGAUAACUAAGCUUGGGAUCGGAACCAAUCGAAUGAUCCCAGGGUACAAUGCUUCUCUCCGCUGAAGCCUCAUGGCAGGGGAAAGGGACUCUGGACACAAUGCACCUGCAUGCCACCUCUUCAGUCACAGAGAGCAUUCUUUCCUGUCCUUUAGACACUAGGGACUAAUGAUACUCAAGGUAGAGGAGCUCCGACUCUGGUAUUUCCAUAUUAAGUCCUAAAAUGCAGCCUGGGAUACAGUGCUGCCUUAGAAAGGCACAAAACAUUUGGCUUUUUUUUUUUUUCAGUGUGCUAAAAAUUGUUUUGUUUUGAAUAAAGGAAAAAGAUAUAUAAGGUUAAAAAUCCCAAGUCACCACAGCCAGAAAGCAGAUGUAGGAGGUACCUCAUAGCUGCCAUGCCCCUACCACGUUUCAGCAGGAAGUCAGGCUUUUAUUUCAAGGCCAAGACACUAGAACAGUGCUGAGCAGGGUAGGUCAGGAGGCAUUUACUCUCAUGGGCAUUGCAUUGUACACUUGCUCACCCAGACAGCAGGAGAAAGAGGCCAUGGAAGACAACACGUGGUCUACAGACUCCUAAGUGGUUCUCUGCCUCUCCAGUUUUAAAGACAGCCAUAAGCAUGGCUACCCUCAUCCACAACAAGGUCAGAGGUAGGUAGGAAGGAGGGAGCUGACGCCCAGGCACCCAUGACACCCCACUUCAGGGCUUUGCAUGGAGGUGGCGCAAGGCCUGAGGAGUUGCACACAGCAUGUAUUGAGCAAUACUCCUCUCUGGCCUCCCGUCUGAUUUAGGGGUAGAAGAAGAAUGUAGGAGAGGCAACGGCGCAGGGUGUGUGGGGCCGGGGGGGCUGACAUUCCUUUUUGGGACUGAAUCAGGCAAUCAGGACUCUGCUGCUUUCUUCAGCUACCAAAUCAGGAGAUUUGAGGCUGGCUUUUGGGCUUUGCCCUGUACAAACAUAGAGAGUGGUCGGCUGCAUUUUUCUGAAGCUCUGUACCCAGGAAGGGGUGGCAAAAGAGCCACCCAGCUUAGUCUCUCCGUCAAUAGCCGGCCUUUCCACCUGUGCUUCCCACCUGACUCACCAUGGUCACUCGGAGCUUGCUCUCCCCAUCCCUAUUUUUCCAUCUCUGACUCUUUACUACUUUCCAGAACCAAGAAACACUGGUAUUUCCCAAUGAAACCAACCCAGACUUUCUGUAACACAGUGAAGGCACAUGGCACUGCUGUCCCUCUGCUGCUUAACUCAGGAGCCUAGACUACAACAUCAAAGGUGAAGUCUGACGACCCACCCUUCCUCCCUUGAUGGACAUCUUUGGAUUAUUAGGUAACAUCUGUGUGUAUCAAAUGACUCUCGUAGUUUAAAAAACUUUUAAGUAAGGCAGUAUGAAAUGCCUUACAAUGUCUAAGAUGAGAUAAAUAUAAGAUCAAAAGAUUCAAGCAAGCAAAAGUACGGCUUUAAAAAAACAGAAAAGGAAAGCUUUUAUACAGGGCUAAAAAGAAAGCAAUUGCCAGAAGACACAGGUAUACCGUCCAGCGAGCUCUCAGUAAAAACUCUAUCCUAAGCUGGAAUCUGUAUUUGAUUUCUAUCCUGGCAACUGCUCCAAUAUUAUAUAUUCUUACUGGCUCUGGCAAAGUAGUUUCUGAGGUGCCUGGGAAGGCUUACCUGAGAACAUUACUGCAGAGCAGCCCUCACACAGGAGGGAAUGAGACAGUAAGGAGGAGAGUGGAGAAGACAGGCCACAAGUCCAGAGAAUGAACAUAUUUUCAAUCACUCAAACCUGAACAGAAGUCCAUGGGUAGUGGCUACAGUGGAGCCUGUUAUGAGAUUCUGCUUUCUAAAUAACAUGGAUUCAGAAGGCAAAAGACCUGAGGCUGAAUGGAGGCUAAGGAAGGCCACCCAGAAACAGGCUAGCUCUGGAACAGGACAGGCUGGCCCACAAGAGGGAGGUAAGAAAUCUUGGAUGCCAAGACUGACAAAGGGAAGAAAAAUAGGAAAUAAAGACAAUGACCAGAAUUAAGUUAAACCUAAGAAUUUCUAUGAUGUCCUGGACAAACUCCGGUGCCUUCCUUUCCACUAGCAAAAAGGCAGGAGUAGCAGCUUUACUCCCCAAGUAGAAGCCUUUUGAGGAUGUCUGUGGAGUCUCUGCCCUCUUCUCUAGAAGCUCCCUAUCUCCAGCUGAAGGAGUCUGCCACAUCUCUGCUCUCCCUGGCAAGGCCAACUGCUCAGGGAUAGAUACUUGAUCUAUGUACUGGGCUGAAUGUAGUUUUUCUUAAGAAUAUGAAGUCUAGGAAAUUGGGAAUUUGUUCACAGUGAUCCCCAGAGUUGGAAGGUGGUGUGGAUUUAAGGACUGGAGUGCCUAUUUGGGGGCCACACAUCCCAUAAACAGACUGUGAAGUGGGAGGAAGAAACAGGUGCAAAGCUCUGCAGUUCAGCUCCACCAGAAAACCAACAGCACGUCCCACCCUGGGUCCUAUGAAACACCCUGCAUCCUUAUAAUGACUCCCUCCUUUCAUACGCUUGAACAUCUGUUUCUUGUUAUCCAAAGGAUCCCUAAGCAGAACAGUCAAAAAUAUAACCUCGACUACCUUCCACUAUCCACCACCCUCUAGGCAUUAAGCAGUUCUAUAUAUUCCUAACAAAAGACCACUCAUGGAGACUGAGUUCAAAGGAGUGACAGUAAUAGUUAAGCUAAGUUAGAGUACUUUAGAUUGAACUUCUAAAGCUCUAAGGUCUGGGAGAAUAAUGUGUGGACACUAAGCUUCAGGGUCCCUAAACUCCUUGCUCUUGAUGGGGAGGUAAAGGCUGACAAUUAGAGGACUGAUUAAGUUCAAUCUGUAUUAAUGCCUGGCUCUUGGAAGACCAAACAACUGACUGAAUAUCAGGACCCAAAGAUAGGACCCACAGCUCCAGCCCUUCUAAAACACAGAGUUAGCUGCAAAGGUUGUUGAAAGACUGGAAAACCAAUUCCAAAUAGUACAGGACAUGGUGACAGCCUGCAGAGGGGUGAUAGGAAAAUCCUCCCAACAAAGGAGAUUAGGGACACAGCAGCUCAGGAAAAAGUUCAAGGAAGGCACUAGAUUGGAAAGGGGGAUGUGGGUAGAUGCUUUGUUUAAACAUUUAAUGCCUUACUAUGCAACUCUGAGCCAACUUACCCUUCAACUCACCAAACAGAUUCCAAUGAAAUACAUAAAAACAGUAGGUAUCCAUGAGACUUACAUCAAGGAAUCUCCCAGGCAUUAUCAAAGCUAUAGGAGACAACAGGGGAUAAUGGAAGAAUCUUGGCCUGCUAUUAACCAGGAUAGCUCUACAAGGAAAGGUCAGUCUACGUGAAAGAGCUGUGAAUAAAAACUGCACAAUCUUAUUGGGAAGAGCUAUUUUAAGGUCAAAUGCAGGGGCUAAGAGAUACCAAGUACAAUCCCCUAAACAUCAGUAAACUAUCAUGCAGUGGCAAGAGAAGGACACAUACCUGACAGUUCUGGCACAUGGUCAUCACACAUAAACAUUUGCUGGAUGAACAAACGAACUGUUACAGCCAGGUCAAUAGUCAGAAAACUAUUUUUCAAUGAACAGUGGUCAUUCCAAAGUCAGAAAGGCCAAUGGCAAGAAGGGGGGCUUAUAGUUUGAGAAGGUCUAAUCUUCUGACUUUCAUGAUGUGAGGUAGGAGAAUAUUCUGCUUUAUCACCAUUGUUGAACACCUACAAAAAGAACUAGAUCUUAAAGGGAAUAUACAGGUGGUCCCUAGUUUUUACAAGCAAGUUUUGUUAUAAAAAUUUGUAAGGUGACUGUUUGGACCAUAAAUACAUUUUACUUUCCUAUAGAGAAAACAUAUAUUUUAAGAGUGAUCAACAGUGACUCCCACCUCCCUUAACCAGAAAAAAAAUCUUUUAAAUCCACAAAAUAGCUAAAUAAUGCUAAGAGUACUAUCCCACAUCGUGGGCCCCGGUAAUGAGGGUUUGUGUAAGGAGAAAAAGGGGCCGGAAGAAUGGCAGAUUAUGUAGCAUGGGGCUGGGGGGAGACGAGCGAGUGGAAGAGAGUAGCUACCCACAGGCAGAGAGCACUGUUCACAAAAAUAUUACAGAUACACGCUGAGAUGAGAAGCUGCCUGGUCUAUUACUUAACUAAAGGGAGGUAUAUUAAGAGCCCACAGGUAAGAACCCUCUAUUUUAGUGGAAGGAACAUGGGCAGCUGGAAAGGUCCAGUUGUGGUUGCUGCAGAGCAACGACGCAGCAACAAGGCAGCUCGGAAAGCAACCCACGAAGACACAGGGAAAGCACGAAACUGGGCUGAAUACAACAGCCCAAUGAAUAUGAGAAAAAGGAGAACAAAGGGAAGGGACAAGGGGAUGGGCUUGCCAAAAAUGGCAAAACCUGAAGUCUGUUCAUCAAUGGCAAUUUCAAUUAAAUUCAGAGCAGAGCCAAAGAAUUUUAAAUUGCCAUACAAAUGGAGGAUGAAGAAUGGGUUACUGGUGCCUUAGUCAACAGAAAAUAUAAAUAAUUAAGCUUUUGAGAAUAACCUCAAAACAAAAGCCACAUGAAAACCUUCCUUAGUCUUGCCUGGAAAUCUCAGACACAGAGCCAGGUAUGUUCUCAGAGCACCCAGUCAAAGGAAAAAUCCUCAUGAAAUGAUCCAAAACCUUGAAUGCUGGCAGACAACUGUGACAAACUAACACCCAAGCCCAUCCAUGGGGCACAUGUACAACACAGGGAGCUGCGGCCUCAGUUCCAGGCUGAUUCAGAGCCACACAGGACUCAAAAAAGGAAAAGUUGAGACUGCCCUUAGCUUACGCAGUAGGGCCAAUAAUUUCCAGGGAAGAUUUAGAUGCAUGGAAAAGGCAAAAGAUACAUAGCCAGUGCGUUGUCUUCUGAACAGAUCUUUAGACUACGGGCAAUAUCUGCAGAUAAAAAAGUUACAAUAUGGAUAGGCCUGGAAACUGCUGCCAUUUUUUCUAGUUCUUUGUCUAGGCCUUCAAUAUUUAAAAUGCAAAACUGAACGUUACCUCAAAUGAAACAGUAUGUGUACUGGCGUUUAGAAGUUGCCGGGGGUCUACUGUUUGCUAUUCACUGCCAUUUUCCUCUGCCCACUCCACCCCAAUUUGGGACCACCUCACCUAAUGGUGGGCUAUGCCGCUUUAUGCCAUGUAGAGAAGACACCGGGUAAUUACAGCAAAUCAACACAAGGUCCUGUACUGCCUACUCUGAGAACAUAAAUGGCUCUCAGGCCAGAGGAUAAAAUCAAAAGAUCCAGAAGUAGCCGAAUGCCAAGAGACGAGUUAGAACAAGUUUUAGUUCCAAAGAUGAUAAGACUGAAAAGAAAACUAAUCCAAGGAGGGUCAUUUCUGUCUAGAUCUAAAGACAAAAGCAAUGAUUUAGAUUUUCAGGAAGACAGAUUUAUUAAAGAGCAGGCUUGCUUCUGACGUGGAGAAAGGUUAUACGCUGCUUAAGGAAGUCAGCAAAACACUCUGGACAGUACACUAACUGAACUCGAGGGAUCAUUUACCAGCAAUAUAAAGGAACUGACUAAUGGUUCUCCAAACUGGACCCUUAAUCUUCUUUAUGAACUUGCAAUUACACAAACUGCCAGCAUAUAUUGUCUUUGACUGCAGUAAUUUAUUCACCGAAUGAUGUCUAAUACUGUGAAGAACACA